AGGGCACCACCAGGAGUGGAGCCUGCGGCUUAAUUUGACUCAACACGGGGAAACUCACCCGGCCCGGACACCGGAAGGAUUGACAGAUUGAUAGCUCUUUCUUGAUUCGGUGGAUGGUGGUGCAUGGCCGUUCUUAGUUGGUGGAGCGAUCUGUCUGGUUAAUUCCGAUAACGAACGAGACUCUAGCCUAUUAAAUAGACGUCGGGUUCUCUGCACUCGACGGUCUUCUUAGAGGGACAAGGUGCUUUUAGCACCGCGAAACAGAGCAAUAACAGGUCUGUGAUGCCCUUAGAUGUCCGGGGCCGCACGCGCGCUACACUGAAGGAAGCAGCGUGUAACAACCUUGUUCUAACGAACUGGGUAACCCGUGGAACUUCCUUCAUGAUUGGGAUAGGGGUUUGCAAUUGUGCCCCUUGAACGAGGAAUUCCCAGUAAACACUAGUCAUCAGCUAGUGCUGAUUACGUCCCUGCCCUUUGUACACACCGCCCGUCGCUACUACCAAUUGAAUGGUUUAGUGA
rnacentral:rRNA from 1 species